rnacentral:rRNA from 1 species
ACACAUGCAAGUCGAACGAGACCUUCGGGUCUAGUGGCGCACGGGUGCGUAACGCGUGGGAAUCUGCCCCUUGGUUCGGAAUAACAGCGAGAAAUUGCUGCUAAUACCGGAUAAUGACGUAAGUCCAAAGAUUUAUCGCCAAGGGAUGAGCCCGCGUAGGAUUAGCUAGUUGGUGUGGUAAAAGCCCACCAAGGCGACGAUCAGUAGCUGGUCUGAGAGGACGACCAGCCACACUGGAACUGAGACACGGUCCAGACUCCUACGGGAGGCAGCAGUGGGGAGUUUUGGACAAUGGGGGCAACCCUGAUCCAGCAAUGCCGCGUGAGUGAAGAAGGCCCUCGGGUUGUAAAGCUCUUUUGUCAGGGAAGAAAAGGCUGUGGCUAAUAUCCACAGCUGCUGACGGUACCUGAAGAAUAAGCACCGGCUAACUACGUGCCAGCAGCCGCGGUAAUACGUAGGGUGCAAGCGUUAAUCGGAAUUACUGGGCGUAAAGCGUGCGCAGGCGGUUUUAUAAGUCUGAUGUGAAAUCCCCGGGCUCAACCUGGGAACUGCAUUGGAGACUGUAAGGCUAGAGUGUGUCAGAGGGGGGUAGAAUUCCACGUGUAGCAGUGAAAUGCGUAGAUAUGUGGAGGAAUACCGAUGGCGAAGGCAGCCCCCUGGGAUAACACUGACGCUCAUGCACGAAAGCGUGGGGAGCAAACAGGAUUAGAUACCCUGGUAGUCCACGCCCUAAACGAUGUCAACUAGUUGUCGGGUCUUAAUUGACUUGGUAACGCAGCUAACGCGUGAAGUUGACCGCCUGGGGAGUACGGUCGCAAGAUUAAAACUCAAAUGAAUUGA